UACGUAGGGAGCAAGCGUUGUUCGGAUUUACUGGGCGUAAAGGGCGCGUAGGCGGCGCGGUAAGUCACUUGUGAAAUCUCUGAGCUUAACUCAGAACGGCCAAGUGAUACUGCAGUGCUAGAGUGCAGAAAGGGCAAUCGGAAUUCUUGGUGUAGCGGUGAAAUGCGUAGAUAUCGAGAGGAACACCUGCGGCGAAGGCGGGUUGCUGGGCUGACACUGACGCUGAUGCGCGAAAGCUAGGGGAGCGAACGGG
rnacentral:rRNA from 1 species